rnacentral:rRNA from 1 species
GACGAACGCUGGCGGCGUGCUUAACACAUGCAAGUCGAACGGAAAGGCCCUGCUUUUGUGGGGUGCUCGAGUGGCGAACGGGUGAGUAACACGUGAGUAACCUGCCCUUGACUUUGGGAUAACUUCAGGAAACUGGGGCUAAUACCGGAUAGGAGCUCCUGCUGCAUGGUGGGGGUUGGAAAGUUUCGGCGGUCGGGGAUGGACUCGCGGCUUAUCAGCUUGUUGGUGGGGUAGUGGCUUACCAAGGCUUUGACGGGUAGCCGGCCUGAGAGGGUGACCGGCCACAUUGGGACUGAGAGACGGCCCAGACUCCUACGGGAGGCAGAAGUGGGGAAUAUUGCACAAUGGGCGGAAGCCUGAUGCAGCAACGCCGCGUGCGGGAUGACGGCCUUCGGGUUGUAAACCGCUUUCGCCUGUGACGAAGCGUGAGUGACGGUAAUGGGUAAAGAAGCACCGGCUAACUACGUG